AUGUUACUGCUCAAGUAUCUGAGCCUAAGGAAAACAGAUAUUACCCAGCUACCAAGUGAAAUCAACAACCUCCGUGAGCUAGAGGUACUGGAUAUCCGACAAACUGAUAUACCUUCACAUGCAACAACAAAUAUCCUGCUCUUGAAGCUGAAGCGUCUGCUAGCUGGCCACGCUGAUCCAAGCAAUUUUGAAUCCAGCCCCCGGAUUCCUCAUAGUGUCGACAAAAUGCUAAACAUGGAGGUACUAUCCAAUGUAAAGGCCCAGAAGAGUCGUGAUUUAAAAGAUAUUGGAAAGCUAUGGCAGCUGAGGAAGCUAGGUGUGGUUAUCCAUGAUAUGGAUAGCCAUGUCAGGAAUUUGCUUCAGGAGAUCGGUGACUUACAUGAGUGCCUUCGUUCUCUGUCAAUCACUACUACUCCUGUAGCCUCACCACGCAAGGCUACUCCUUCCAGUGCAGAGUUACCCGGCUCUCUCUUAAAACACUUCCCCAAGAUCCUUGAGAGUCUAAGCAUCAGGGGAACCACACAGAAGGUGCGUCUUCUUCCAUUGUUCAUAGAUGGUGAUAAAAACAAACUUGCCAAGGUAACUCUAUGUCAUACUCCGCUGAGCAAAGAUGAUCUGGAAGCCCUUGCCAAGCUGCCCAAGUUACGGUGUGUUAGGCUCCAACACAUUUCAUGCACCGAGCCCAUGCUGAACUUCAAGGAGGGUAAAUUCAAAUGCCUCAAGUACCUUCUUGUUGAGGGCUCGGCCUUGACUAAUAUCACUUUUGAGCAUGGAGCAGCGAGUGAGCUUGAGAAGAUGGUUUUGUCUUUCACCGGAAUAGGUUCUAUUUCUGGAGUUGAGUUUCUUCCAAAAUUGGAAGAGCUCGAGUUGAACAGCAGCUUCUGUGGCAGUUUGCUAUCAUCAUUUGACAAUGUCAGACAAAUAACCAAGCUGACUCUUCGUGGUACAUUGCUAGAGCAAGAUGCUCUACAACUGCUCACCAAGAAACAAAAUAUACGUUGUCUGGUGCUCAUGGACAAGUCUUUUGGUGGAACACAUGAGAUUACAUUAAAAAAAGAUGAGUUCUUAUGUCUCAACCUCCUUGUUGUUGACUGCUCAGCCAUCACCAAGAUUGUCUUCAACAGCGGGUCUACUCCUAGGCUCGAGAAGAUUGUCUGGUCAUCUUCCACAACUCUCUCCGGCAUCGACAAACUUCCCAGAUUGAAGGAGCUCGAGUUCAAGGGUGACAAAGUCCCUGAUGAGGUGAGAAAGGCCAUUGAUAAGCAUGACAACAAGCCUAGUCUUACUGGACCAGAAACUCAAGACUAA
rnacentral:rRNA from 1 species